rnacentral:rRNA from 1 species
GACGAACGCUAGCGAUAGGCUUAACACAUGCAAGUCGAGGGGCAGCAUAUUCGAAGCUUGCUUUGAAUGAUGGCGACCGGCGCACGGGUGCGUAACGCGUAUGUAACCUGCCUGUCAGAAGGGAAUAACCCGGUGAAAGUCGGACUAAUACCCUAUAUGCUCACGAGAGGCUCCUGCCUUGGUGAGGAAAGAUUUAUCGCCCAGGGAUGAGCCCGCGUAAGAUUAGGUAGUUGGUGAGGUAAAGGCUCACCAAGCCGACGAUCUUUAGCUGGUCUGAGAGGAUGAUCAGCCACACUGGGACUGAGACACGGCCCAG